UGUUUCCAAAGAGGAAUGCUGAGGAAGGACUGACCUUGAGAAGACCGUGAGUUCGCCAGGCCAUGGAAUGUUCCCAGCCUCAGGGCUUAAACAAAAACUUUAUUCAGAGAGCGAGUGCUCUGUUGAGAACAAGCCCUGUCUAUCUCCCUGCUUUGUCUUGGGGGUUUAUCAAGGGAGUACUGGCCACCGUGCUAAAUGCCAACUUCUUUUUAAGGCACUGAGCCGAGUGUGUGGGAUGAAACAGAAAAGGACAUGUUUUCCCACCUGAGAAGCAGAGGGAUCGGCAGCAGCUGGAGUUACACCCCCCCCUGCCCCCAGCCCUGAGGUGGCCCCUGCAGGAGAGAACAGGUCGGGUAAGGCCAUCUCCUCACAAUGAGAGAGAGCCUGGGCAAAAAGUUUCCCCUGAACAGUGGUUCUCCACUGUGACUGUGACUCCAAAUUGCCUAGAGAGCUGAGGAAGCCAGAUGGCCAGUUAGCUCUGGUUCAGGGGGUCUGGGGCUGCCCAGCUCCCCAGUUCCCAGUGGGUGCCGGGGAAGCUGCUGGAACUGGGCUGUGUGCUCGGAAAGCCGCACUCAGAUGUCCAGGCCCCAAAAGUGAGGAGGGCACGAGACAGAUUCCGUUAUAAUAGCCAUCUUUAUUUGUAAAAAUCCAGAUAUAAAAUGUAUUCUUUCAGUCUUUCCAAGUUUUCCUUUUUACAAAAACAAAAAGGCACAUAAAAACCAUCCCCGCUGUCAUUCCCAUAGACGAGGUUUUUCAGGCAGCCCUCCCCCCUCCCCCCCAUAUAGCUACAUGCUUCAUUCCGGGACGUCUCGCUCCCCCACAUGCUUCGGUGCUUUCCUACCAGGGUAGAGUUCCGAAUUCCAAGACUGAAGUAC